CACGUAGGGCGCGAGCGUUGUCCGGAAUUAUUGGGCGUAAAGAGCUCGUAGGCGGCCUGUUGCGUCCGCUGUGAAAGCCCGGGGCUUAACCCCGGGUCGGCAGUGGAUACGGGCAGGCUAGAGGUAGGUAGGGGAGAAUGGAAUUCCCGGUGUAGCGGUGAAAUGCGCAGAUAUCGGGAGGAACACCGGUGGCGAAGGCGGUUCUCUGGGCCUUACCUGACGCUGAGGAGCGAAAGCGGGGGGAGCGAACAGG
rnacentral:rRNA from 1 species